rnacentral:rRNA from 1 species
AGUAAUGUAUGGGGAUCUGCCCGAUAGAGGGGGAUAACUACUGGAAACGGUGGCUAAUACCACAUAAUGUCUACGGACCAAAGCAGGGGCUCUUCGGACCUUGCACUAUCGGAUGAACCCAUAUGGGAUUAGCUAGUAGGUGGGGUAAAGGCUCACCUAGGCGACGAUCUCUAGCUGGUCUGAGAGGAUGACCAGCCACACUGGGACUGAGGCACGGCCCAG